rnacentral:rRNA from 1 species
UACGGAAGGGGGCUAGCGUUGCUCGGAAUUACUGGGCGUAAAGCGCACGUAGGCGGAUUGUUAAGUCGGGGGUGAAAUCCUGGAGCUCAACUCCAGAACUGCCUUCGAUACUGGCGAUCUCGAGUUCGGGAGAGGUGAGUGGAACUGCGAGUGUAGAGGUGAAAUUCGUAGAUAUUCGCAAGAACACCAGUGGCGAAGGCGGCUUACUGGUCCGGAUCUGACGCUGAGGCGCGAAAGCGUGGGGAGCAAACAGG